rnacentral:rRNA from 1 species
UGCAUACAUAAGCGGAGGAAAAGAAACUAACAAGGAUUCCCCUAGUAGCGGCGAGCGAAGCGGGAAGAGCUCAAAUUUAUAAUCUGGCACCUUCGGUGUCCGAGUUGUAAUCUCUAGAAAUGUUUUCCGCGUUGGACCGCACACAAGUCUGUUGGAAUACAGCGGCAUAGUGGUGAGACCCCCGUAUAUGGUGCGGACGCCCAGCGCUUUGUGAUACAUUUUCGAAGAGUCGAGUUGUUUGGGAAUGCAGCUCAAAUUGGGUGGUAAAUUCCAUCUAAAGCUAAAUAUUGGCGAGAGACCGAUAGCGAACAAGUACCGUGAGGGAAAGAUGAAAAGCACUUUGGAAAGAGAGUUAACAGUACGUGAAAUUGUUGGAAGGGAAACGCUUGAAGUCAGACUUGCUUGCCGAGCAAUCGGUUUGCAGGCCAGCAUCAGUUUUCCGGGAUGGAUAAUGGUAGAGAGAAGGUAGCAGUUUCGGCUGUGUUAUAGCUCUCUGCUGGAUACAUCUUGGGGGACUGAGGAACGCAGUGUGCCUUUGGCGGGGGUUUCGACCUCUUCACACUUAGGAUGCUGGUGGAAUGGCUUUAAACGACCCGUCUUGAAACCCGGGACCA